ACACAUGCAAGUCGAGGGGCAGCAUAAUGGAUAGCAAUAUCUAUGGUGGCGACCGGCGCACGGGUGCGUAACGCGUAUGCAACCUACCUUUAACAGGGGGAUAACACUGAGAAAUUGGUACUAAUACCCCAUAAUAUCAUAGAAGGCAUCUUUUAUGGUUGAAAAUUCCGAUGGUUAGAGAUGGGCAUGCGUUGUAUUAGCUAGUUGGUGGGGUAACGGCUCACCAAGGCGACGAUACAUAGGGGGACUGAGAGGUUAACCCCCCACACUGGUACUGAGACACGGACCAGACUCCUACGGGAGGCAGCAGUGAGGAAUAUUGGUCAAUGGACGCAAGUCUGAACCAGCCAUGCCGCGUGCAGAAUGACGGCUCUAUGAGUUGUAAACUGCUUUUGUACGAGGGUAAACGCAGAUACGUGUAUCUGUCUGAAAGUAUCGUACGAAUAAGGAUCGGCUAACUCCGUGCCAGCAGCCGCGGUAAUACGGAGGAUUCAAGCGUUAUCCGGAUUUAUUGGGUUUAAAGGGUGCGUAGGCGGUUUGAUAAGUUAGAGGUGAAAUUUCGGGGCUCAACCCUGAACGUGCCUCUAAUACUGUUGAGCUAGAGAGUAGUUGCGGUAGGCGGAAUGUAUGGUGUAGCGGUGAAAUGCUUAGAGAUCAUACAGAACACCGAUUGCGAAGGCAGCUUACCAAACUAUAUCUGACGUUGAGGCACGAAAGCGUGGGGAGCAAACAGGAUUAGAUACCCUGGUAGUCCACGCAGUAAACGAUGAUAACUCGUU
rnacentral:rRNA from 1 species